rnacentral:lncRNA from 1 species
GGCGCAGCGCGGGUGACAGUCACACGCACCCUGCCCUGAUCCCGCCGAGCGGACAGCCCGGCGCCCCGACCCGCCGCCUGGGGAGCCAGGGGGUGUCCGUGUACGGUCCGCACGGGAUUGCAGCCUCUGUUUAAGUAUUGGGAAGGCUCAGGAUCAUCUUCAACAAGACGGACGUUGAAUGUUUAGCAUCGCCUCUUUGGAUUUUUGCAUGUGAAUUGGAACCGCUUUAUUUCUAGCUGCAGUUCUUCCUACACUCAGAGGUCAGCAAAGAGCAAGAUCAACAAGCCACACAUCUGGCUCUCUCUCUUUCCAACUGGAACAAAGAAACAAUUUUUUAAUGGCUUUUUGAGUUAAUUGUAAACAAUUUGGUUUUA